rnacentral:lncRNA from 1 species
UGUAUGGCUAUUACAAAAUAGUAAAAAUCUGAAAAUAAGAAAAAAUUGGCCUGUGAUAGCUAAUCAAGAAAUCUUACUUUUACAAAUUAAAAUCUUACAAAAAUAAAUCCUAGCUAUACUAAAAACCUGAGUGAAAAGUGUAACUCUGUAAGAAAUAGAAGAAAAUAAAAUUGAGUUUUUAGACACAGAAUGGAGAAGGACUUUCUAAUUUCUACAGUGAUUUUUAAAAUCAAAUGGUAUAAAUCAACAGUUUUGCUCAUAUAUGUAUAAAAAUAAGAAACAAGUUUGAAAAAACUACACAUAACAAGUAUGACAAAGAUUUAUGUCCUUGAUAUAUAAAGAGCUUAUUUGAAUCAAUGAGAAAAAAAAUCCCAGUGGAAAAAUGGACAAAGGAAAUGAAUAGGUUAUUUACAGAAGAUAGAUGGAAUAGUAAAAAUUGCAAGAUUCAACCUCACUAGAAUAGAAAUGUAAAUUUCCCUCCCAUCAACCUGACAAGAAUACUGGGUUUCUCUUCCUAAGAAUCAUAACAGUCAAUGAGGAGGAGGGUAUUACAAAGCAAGUACUUUCAUGUAGUGCUGAUUAUCUGAAAACUGGAACAAACUCUAUGAAAAGCAGCUGAGCAAGAAACAUAAAAGAAAUUAACACAGUUCAUACCAAUGAGCAAUAACUACAAAGCCAGAAAUUCAUCCUUAAGAGACAUAACCUUAGGUAAAGAUCUUUAUAGAGACGUGCAUCUCAGAUUAUUUAUAACAGCAAAAUUCUGAAAAUCUAUUUGCCCCUAAAUGGGAAGAGUAGUUAAGUGAAACAUGUUAUGGAAACAUAAGAAUGGCCUCUCAAUGUAUACAGUGACACAGGUGGGAAGGCGAGGAGAAACUAUGGUUAGUUCUCACUAAAUUUUUCCUUUCUUGCUUGUAUCUUUCUAUUAUUUCUAAAUUCUCUAUAAAAAGGCAUUUACAGUUAGUGGAACCUUUUUAGAAGAUUAUUAUUAUUUUUUUUUUUGGUCUUUCUGCCAUUUCUUGGGCCGCUCCCUUGGCAUAUGGAGGUUCCCAGAAAAGACAAAAAAUAAAAAAUAAAAAUAUAAUAAAAAAUAUCUUGGAGCUAGAAAAUGGGGAGGGGGAGAAUGGUAAACACCAACAAUGUGUCACUUUCUUUAGAUUGAAGAUUUAUGAGCUUUCAUGUAUGAUUUGUGUUCUUACCUGGUCAUAACCCAGGAAGGAAAAGAGAUGAUGUUUAAUGUAGCAAACACUGAAGGUGAAGAAACAAAUUUCUAGAAACAAACACCUUCUUCAAAGUAAACCCUUGCCUUUCUUCUGUCUGUGUAGCACCCUCCUUUACUCUCCUGUCUUUGUUUUCUCAUCCUUUCCCCUCAUAAACGGUGGGUGCCUGGGAGCUCAAAUCAGAUCGUGCUCACCUAUGUCUCUGUCCCAUUGUGUGUGAUGCCUGGUUCACUGCGUAGCAAAUGUUUUUCUCAGUGACUAUAAGCAAGGAUAAAUUCAUCUUAGCCAAGUCCUUUAAGAAGUUGCUCUAUAUAUGAAAAGGAGAAAGUUCUACUGCAGUUAAAAAUUAUUUAGAUGCUCACAAAGUCAAUUUUGUGCCAUGGCUGAAUGCCCACUACUGGUAGCAGCAAGCUUAACAGCUAUCUGGCUGUCUCCCAUCUUUACCUAGUAGGAUUCUUUCUAUUCACCUCUAAGAGCUCAUGGGAGUCUGAAAUAAGCUACUAAUGGUGGAGAAACCAAGUGUCUGAUUGAUGAGGGAGGCUGGUGUUUGUCUGGACAUCUCAGCACAGUUAGGUCAGUGUUCGAAUGCCCCAGAGUCGGUGGGUUCCCACCUCCAGCUAAGGCACGCACUUUUCAUUCCCCUGGGUCUUCCAUAGGCCUGUCCCACCCACCUCUUCUCUUCUUUCUGUGGUCCCUCAGACUGGGAGGUCUGCAGCCUGCCAUUCCUGAUCACUGAGAUGGAAAAGGCAUCAUUCCCAGCUUUUCUAAUCCAGGGUGAAAAGUCUCAAAACUUUGGUUUGGGCUAAACUGGGACAAGCAAAACUCUUACUAGACUCUUCCCCAAAGGUUCUGGCAUAGCCAGUCUCGGUGCAUAAAAGCAGAAGCUGGAGCAAAGAUGCAAAAAUGGCAAACCAAAGAGGGUGAGGCCCAGGGAAACAGCAGCUGCGGUUGUUGACUAUACCUAGGGCCACCCUGAUCUUUUAUUGAGAAGGAUUUUUCCAGGGUGUGGUGAACUUUUCUCAGGUCUAUGCAGAUCUUCUCCAUAUGCCAAGAUUAUGAGUAAUACUGAAGGACAGGAAUUUGAGACUUACUGACUUGGGACAGAAGUGGGAUGUACUUAAAACCAAGAUGCAAGUCAGAUGUGGUGGCCCAAUUACCAUGGAAAUGACACUUAACAGUGCAACCGGUCAUGAACAGUAUCUGUCCACAAGCAUCUGGCAUUCAAGAGUCAUUCCUUAAAAGUCAAGAAGAAUAAAACUGGCUGCUUUGUUCCAAAGUUUCUCCUCUUGGAUAUUAAGGGUUAGUUAGAAUUCCAGCUCAUCCAGGCUCAAAAGCCUCCCUUCUCCAUCUGGUUGGUGUGCCCCUUAACCUCAAGCCUGUAGGUAUAAAUCAGCACUAAGACAGCAUGGUUCUGUCUCUGCCACUUUAUAUCCUGUAGUUCUACUCACAUCUUUUAAAAUUCUAGUCAUACAAAUUACAAGAGGAGACAGUCUGAUCCCUCUGGCUUCAAUUACCCUCUCGGUUCCCAUGAUUUCAGAGUUAUAUCUCAGUACUGUGUUAAUACGGAGAUAAUUUUUAAAUGUGUGCUUCCCUAUGAGUGUCUAAUGAGAAGCACUGAAUGAUCCCAUUUACUUUUCACUGACAGAAUUGUUGGGGCCUGCUUUCAGGACUUGCUGUGUUAAUUUUCUGAUGGGGAGCUGCUAAUAAACAGGGGAGAAGCAGAUCAACAGAAAUGCUUACUGUGGCAAAGGUCAUUUCAAUCAGGCUAGUCUCGCUUUAAAGCCCCACAAAACGUUAACUUCAGAAACACAAACAGAUAAAAGCCUGUUUGUGCUUUUAUUAUAUCUUUCUCUAAUAAACCUGAAGGAUUUCGGAUAAUGACGAUUUUAAUGAAUGAUUUCUUGCUUCUGACAACAGAGGCUAAAAGAUAAUACAUUUUACUAGAAGAAUAUUAUCAAUGGUCCACAUCUUCUUGUGAUUAAUGAACUUCUGACAGAAUUAAUGGAUUGUAAAGUACUUAUUGCCUAUUUUAGAGGAUACUCUUUAUAAUCCUAUUUAGCAGGUGCCAGUUUUUGAGUGAAACUCUUUCUUACCCAGUCAAGACACGUCAUACCUAAAAAGUUCUUUCCACUGCCUCUGACUCUCCAAGGAAAAGUCCAAGAUACUCAGACUGACUGCAAAAAAUAACACACAUCACAAUCCCCCAACUUGGAAUAAUGGUGAAUUCACUGAGCAUGGAGAAAAUGAUAGCAUCCAUCAACCAUAAAAUUCAGUUUGGGAUUUUAUUAUGCAUUGCACCAUUUGGGAAUCAUUAGAAUUCUUUCUUCACAAGAGUAUUAAUAUAAAGCUUGUUUUACCUCUCUUAAUCUUCGCCAAGGCAAGAUCAAGGAAGGUUUAACGAAUGAUCCGUAUGAAGAACCAUUCUCUUCCUCUUUGACUGCACAGGGUCAAAAUUUUACCCGGAUACCUUCCACCCUGCCCCCACCUGGGAGGUCACUAAGAUACACUUCCAUGACUCAUUAAGUUUUCAUGAGCUUCCUUAGAAAUCCCUACCCCCCCAGCCACUUCCUGCCAUCUUAAUUGUCUUAUUAUCACCAUUGUUC